AGUAGUUUGAUCAGUGGCUCAGGACGAACGCUGGCGGUGUGCUUCACACAUGCAAGUCGAACGAGGUAGCAAUACCUAGUGGCGGACGGGUGAGUAACGCGUGGGAAUCUGCCUUUAGAUGGGGGAUAACGGGUCGAAAGACUCGCUAAUACCGCAUAUGACGAAAGUUGAAAGGAGUAAUCCGUCUAAAGAUGAGCCCGCGUCCGAUUAGCUAGUUGGUAGAGUAAAAGCCUACCAAGGCGACGAUCGGUAGCUGGUCUGAGAGGAUGAUCAGCCACAAUGGGACUGAGACACGGCCCAUACUCCUACGGGAGGCAGCAGUGGGAAUUUUACGCAAUGGGCGAAAGCCUGACGUAGCGACACCGCGUGAGCGAAGAAGCCCCUUGGGGUGUAAAGCUCUGUCAGCUGGAACGAAAAAAUGACGGUACCAGCAGAGGAAGCAUCGGCUAACUACGUG
rnacentral:rRNA from 1 species